GAUGAACGCUGGCGGCGUGCCUAAUACAUGCAAGUCGAGCGAACGGACGAGAAGCUUGCUUCUCUGAUGUUAGCGGCGGACGGGUGAGUAACACGUGGAUAACCUACCUAUAAGACUGGGAUAACUUCGGGAAACCGGCGCUAAUCCCGGAUAAUAUUUUGAACCGCAUGGUUCAAAAGUGAAAGACGGUCUUGCUGUCACUGAUAGAUGUAUCCGCGCUGCAUUAGCUAGUUGGUAAGGUAGCGGCUUACCAAGGCAACGAUGCAUAGCCGACCUGAGAGGGUGUUCGGCCACACUGGAACUGAGACACGGUCCAGACUCCUACGGGAGGCAGCAGUAGGGAAUCUUCCGCAAUGGGCGAAAGCCUGACGGAGCAACGCCGCGUGAUUGAUGAAGGUCUUCGGAUCGUAAAACUCUGUUAUUAGGGAAGAACAUAUGUGUAAGUAACUGUGCACAUCUUGACGGUACCUAAUCAGAAAGCCACGGCUAACUACGUG
rnacentral:rRNA from 1 species